AGCUGUCGUUGUCCCCUCUCCCUCUGCUGCUCCCUGGCCACUCUGCUCUGACCAAUGCAAUUUGGAUUUCGAUACAGCCUCUACGCCGUCACCAGGAAUUUCAAUUGAGGAACGCUCAAUUAAUUAAUGUGUUCAUCAACAAUGAGAUCUAUUUUUAGUGCCAUCACUAUUGCUUAGAAGCUAGCAUUCCCACCAAGUGAACUAUCUAUCUUCGGAAGUUCAUUCGCAGCUGGUUGACUUGCCACUACGUCAGUUCUACACACAAUCUGGAAUGCUCAUUGUUCAAAACAAGGUGAUGCCUCCUCCUCCCUCAUUUAACUCCUGCGCUUCUGCUCUUUCAUUUCUGAAGCUAUCAUGGUUCAAUAAUUACUGGUUAUGUGUAGCCCUGAUUUUAGUUGCUAGACUAUGUUUACAUAUAUGUGUUUAUAAAGAUGUGGCUGAGGGAAAGGACCCCCCCAGUUUACAUCCUAAGAUACAAGGCCGUGUGAGACUUGGCUGAGGGGAACCCUUGUCUGACUACCCAUCUCCCCUAGGAGAUCAUGUGUGGAUGCAUCCAGACGCCAAUUAAACUAGUCAAGUCAAUUAACAUGGAUGGAUGGAGCUUAUUAGCUAAACUAUCGUUCGAUCCAUGGAGCCUGUCCGGUCUCACGUUAAGCGAACGUGGAGGAGCUAAGGCAGCACUGACUGUUCCUCGAAUAUGCUGUCGUCACCACCCAUCGUCAGUCGACCCCUACGUCAUCAUUUCUAUGCACGCAUUGUACAACCACUAUAUAGUGUUAAUUAAUGGUGAGGAAAUAGCAUCCGCGAUCCCUGAACUUGGCAGCAGUGUUCACUUUAGUCCUUUAACUCAAAAAACCAGCAUCUCGGUCACUAAACUUGGCCAUUUCGAUUCACCCGAGGUCCAAAUGUGAGUUUCACUCAUUAACCCUGGGUUAGGUCGACACUUGGCGCUGACGUGGACACGGUGGACACACCUGAGUGCCUAGAUGAAAGAUUAACAUCGACAACAUCGUACACCAAGCGGAACGUAAUUGGGACCUAAUCAGCCUACCACAUGAACCAAAACUCCUAUUUUUUUUCAUCCGAUCAUCUCGUUGAAAUUGAACUCAAAACCCUAAAAAAACCACCUCAACCUCUAGCGAACGUAGAACGAGAAAAAAAAGUUGAAAUUUAUCGUAUUCCUGAGGAUCAUCGCCGGGGUUUCGUCAUCGUGGUUGCAUGACCACCGGCGAUCGCCACUCCAGUCGUCGGGAUUUGCUCUGCUGGCAAAAUCGCCUCGAGUUCUCUGGGAGACGAAGAGAUAGAGGAGGGUGGACUAAGCCGAGCCUGUAAGCUGCAUGGGAGGGGUGGUGAUUAGAGGGUGGAACCGUGGGGGUGAAGAAAAACGAAAUCGAGGAAGGUUUGUGAACCGGAGAUGACAAAUUUUCAUCCAAACCCCUUGGGUGUGUCCCAUCAUGGACACGUCAACGCCACAUGGCGACCUAACCCAAGUUUAACGAGCGAAACACACGUUUGGACCUCGGGUGAUUAGAGUUGACCAAGUUUAGUGAUUGUGGUGCUGUUUUUGCUAGUUUAAGGACUAAAAUGAACACCGCUGCCAAGUUCAGGGACCGGCAAUGCAUUUUCCUCAUUAACGGUGGAAGACAGGCUCCCGGGCGGCCAUGUGAGUACUCUAGUUGACUUAUCUUGUAGGAUCGAUCCAUGGAGCUUAUUAGCUAAACUAUAGCAGCAGUUUGAUGUGACUGGGGUAUACAUUACUACCCCCCGAUCCGGAUCAAUCGGUGAAGUCGAGUCAGACUUAUUAAGGUCCUAAUUAAUCAUGAUUGAUCUGGCCGCUUGAUCAUGAUGUUAAAAGAACGUGCGGCCAGCUCGAUCUGUCUGCUUCCUCGGAUCCUUGGAGCUACUAGUGCUACUGCACUACUAUAGGCAGUCAUGUAUUUGAGAAAAGGAUGGAGUAUUAGUAGACACACUAGUUCCUCCUAAUUGUAACCUACAACACGCUAGAUUUGUUUCUCAUUGUCCCAGGUUGAGUAUCCUUUUAUUAUUUUCCGAAACACAAGUUGAGUACUUCUUUUUUUUCAAACACAAGUUGAGUACACCCUUUUAAACAAAGACACGUUGGCUGCUCCUAGCUAUCCGUUGAAGAAAAGAUACCUCCAGCUGCCCCACGUUCGGCUAUGAAAAUUAAUGAAAUUUUGUUUUUCCUAUGACUACCAUCCAAAGUCUUCUCCUGCAUGGCUGCAUAGGUGUUCUCAUCCUAUAAACCCACCUCCGUGAAGCUGAUGAACCUCACCGGCCUAGGCCUUCACUUGCUGCACCUGUACACACACACACAACACAAGCCCAGGAGCUAGGAAAGCAGGUCAUCCAAGAUGGCUGAGUUCGCGCUUGGUCUGACCAAGACGGCGGUGGCGGGGACGGUGAGCCGUGUGAAGUCGGCGAUCGAGGAGGAGGCUCAGUUGAGGGACCGCGUGCAGGAGGACCUGGUGUUCAUCACGGGGGAGUUCCAGAUGAUGCAGUCCUUCCUCAGCGCGUCCCACGCUGGGAAACGCGCAUCCAGGGACCUGGUGGUGCACACCUGGGUGAGGCAGCUCCGUGACCUGGCCUUCGACGUGGAGGACUGCGUGGAGUUCGUUGUCCACCUGGACAAGCCUUCGCGCUGGGACUGGGUGUGGCGCAUGGCCUUGCCCGUCAUGCUCUGCGCGGCAAGGCCAGGGCUGCCGCCGUUGGAUCAGGCGGUGGCGGAUAUCAAGCGGCUCAAGGCCAGGGUGGAGGACGUGAGUCAUGAACGGCAGCGGCGAUGAUGACUCUUCAUCUGCUGCUGCUGAUCAUCAGCAUCAGCUUAAGUCCAAGGAAGCAGCAGGAGCAGUCCACGUCCUAAGGGAGGUAUGGGAGGCCAAUCGAAAGCUUUGCACCACCACCGAUAGCGAUGAUCUCAAAAGGUUGAUUCAUUGCCAAGGCAAUGAGCUCCAAGUGAUCUCGCUGUGGGGAGGAAGCACUAGUACUACUCCAUCUCAUGCUCAUGCUAAUGGUCACGGAGGAAAUGAAGCUGCUGAUGUCGGUGGAUCAGCAGCACUACUUGUUGGGUGCAGCCCGGAGAGGGUGGCCAUUAUGACGAAGGCCUACAAAGACCCAGAAAUCUGCCGAGACUUCAAGAACCGUGCCUGGGUUAAGAAGCUCACGCAUCCUUUCGGCCCCGAAAAGUUCCUCAGUGACUUGCUGAUUAAGUUCAGAUCUCAGCACCAUGAAUCUGACUACCACAACGACGGCCAACAUGCACAUGAUCUUCUUCUUCAUCAUGAUACCAGUGCUGACACACUGUCCGAGCUCAUGCUGCGGCUCAAGCAACACAGGUAUCUCGUUGUUAUCGAGCAACAACUAACAAGUGUCGCAGACUGGGAUGCAAUCAGGUGCCUUCCGGACGCCAAAAACGGAAGCCGGGUCUUUAUCUCCACCAACAGCUUGGGGAUGGCACUCAUGUGCACGGGCAAACCCUACAAAGUAUGGGACCUGACAUGCUUCGCUAAUCGUCGAUACCUUUGUGCCAUCACUCGCGAGGUUUGUGGGCAUCGCAUCGGCAUCACCGGUGGAUUGAUUUGGCAAUUAAGACGCCGUGGUGUUAUCUCCGUGUUGUAUGAGGCUGGUACUGAUCAGCGCGAGAAGUUCAUAGAAGAAUUCCGGGCCGAGGACAAAGACAUGAUGAAGAACUUGAGACGACUCGACAAGUCUCAAGUACUCGACCAAGUGAAAUUUGAACACUUCUACUGGCAUGAUACGCCGUUGACUAUUCUGACUGACUUGGCAAAGUCCUUCGUUUUGAGUUCUGAUCCAUGUCAAAAAGAAGACCUCGCGAGCAUGCGAGGGGAGGAUAAAUUGGAUAAGUGUCGUGAGCUUCUGGCUAAACACAAGUACCUCGUCUUUAUUGAGAAUAUUCUGGAGUCCCCCAUUGACUGGAACGUGAUAAAACAAUACCUUCUAGGUGAAUCUACUUUAAGUUGUACCGUUGUUAUUACUAAUAAACAAAAUGUGGCCACAUACUGUGUAGAUCAUAAUGAUGAACAUCAUCGGGCGCUCAAGGUCAAAGAUCUGAUAGAGGGUGAUUUUAUUGAACUGAUUUCGCAACUAAGAUGCCCUGGUGUUAUCUCCGUGUUGUAUGAGACUUCUACCGAGUACGAGCAAUUGAUGGAUCAAUUGUAUGACCGCGACGACAUACUGAACAAGUUGAGAGGACUUGACAAGUCUGGAGUACUCGACGAAGUGAAAUUUGAACGCAGCUGCUGGCUCGGUCAGGAGAUUCUGGCUGAUCGCUUGGCGCGGAACUUAAUUCGGAGUUCUAAUACAAAAGAUGAACAAGAGCUCACAAGCAUGAAAGGGCAAGAUAUAAUUGAAACCUGUCGUAAGCUUCUGGCUGAACACGACCACCUCCUCUUCAUUGAGUUGGAGUCCCGCAUGGACUGGAACUCGAUAAAACAACACCUCCUAGGCGUGUCUAUUCGAGGUUGUAUCGUUGUUCUUACAGAUAAACAAAGUGUGGCCAUGUACUGUGUAGGUAAUGAUGAACAGCGGCUGCUGAAGGUCAAAGAUCUGAUGAAGGGUUCUGACCAUUCUGGACAUGGAGAUGGAGGAAGCAACAAAAAGAAAGAGGAUGAAUAUGAACUUGUUGGGCGUGAAGAUGACUUGGAGUUCUUAGAUUCACAAUCGAAAUGUCUUGACGUGACGUCCGUGUGGGGGAUUGCUGGUGUUGGGAAAUCAGCUAUUGUCAGAGAAUAUUAUGACAAAAAGCACAGGUACGGAAUGUGCGGGUGGGUGGAUGUGCCCCAUCCGUUCAAUCCGACGGACUUGUGCAGGCAAUUGCUUCUGGACUUUUAUUCGGGUGAUCAUGAAGCCAAGGAAACCGCGGCAAUUGGUAUGAUUGAAGGCCAAGACCCUAUUCAAGGGUGCUGUAAAAUACUGCGUGAAAACAGAUGCUUCCUUGUUAUUGAUGGUGUGCAGUCCAAGGAUGUCUGGGACUUGAUAAAAGCAACCUUGCUAUCCCCUCCCAUUCUUGGUCUUACCACCAUUGUCAUUACACGUGAAGAAAGCAUCGCCAAACAUUGCACAGCUUUAGAAGAACAUAUUUGGAACGUCAAACCUCUACAAGCUCACGUGGCCCUAGAGCUAUUCACAAAGCAGAUAGCUCUGAACGGGCACUCAGGUCAAUUGUCUCCCCAGGCGGAAGAGAUUUCAAGACUUAUCAUGUCCAAGUGUGGCGGGCUUCCUGAAGUGAUAGCUGCCAUAGGGCGCGAAUGGGCCAGCACACGCCAACAACAGUCACAGGACAUAAACACGUUGGAGUUUAUAAAUGCAAACUUCAUGCGAAAGUUGAAGACCAUCUCAGACAAAGAUCAUUAUAUUAAAUUAAAGGGUAUAUUCAAUUCGAUGCAAUCCAUCUUUGAUGCUUGCUCGGAUGAACUCAAGCCAUGCAUCUUCUACAUAUUAGUCUUUCCCCCAGACAAAAACAUUCGGCGGAGGCGUUUGCUGAGGCGGUGGAUUGCGGAGGGUUACUCCGCCACGGAGGAGAAGGGAGAAAAGCUCUUUUCCGAGCUCAUGAAGCUGAACAGAUUUUUUACCAGUAGCUUCUUCUGUGAAUACAUCAAGUCACAACCAAUAGAAAAUAACCUUGUGUUUGCGCUAGAAGGGCGUUGCAGCCCCAGCUCGCGCCUCACUGGACGACAUCUCACGAUAAGCAGUUGCUGGGAUGGAGAUGAGAAUGUAUUCAACAGCAUCGACUUCUCACGGCUAAGGUCUUUGACUGUGUUCGGGCCGUGGAGGUCAUUCCUCAUCUCUGACAAUAUGAAGGUGCUUCGGGUGCUUGAUCUGGAGAGCACUACUUCAGACGAUGGUUCUAGUGUAAGAGAUGAAGAUUUGGAGCUGAUCGGAAAGCUGCUGUGUCGCCUCAAGUUCCUGUCCCUGCGAAGAUGCAAGUACAUCACCCGUCUCCCGGAUUCACUGGGUGACAUGAGGCAGCUGGAGACUUUGGAUGUCAGACACACCUCCGUUGUCGAGCUGCCACCUGCUGUCAUCACCAAGCUACACGGGCUGCAGUACAUUCGUGCUGGCACCACUCAAGAAGCAGCAGAAGCAGCAGCAGCAAGAACGCCAGCAGCAGCAGCAACACCACAAGAAGAAAUCAGCCAUAGCGGCACGAGCCCUUUAGUACCAGCUGCAAGAGCAGCAGUAUCAGGUGUUGUCCAAGGGGCAUCAAUAUUUAGAACUGCAAGAGCAUGGAAGAACAGGGCAUGUGAACUGGUAGAAAAGUCCAGCAGCAACAGCAUUGGUAGCUGGCGGCUGUCCAAGGAGAAGCUCGAUCAGCAAAGUCGCCUCCGCGUUGCUAAAAAUUGCGGCGGUGUUGAGGUUUUCCCUGCUGCUGCAAGGGGAGUCGGGAAUCUAACGGACUUGCAUACACUUGGUGUUGUGAAUGUUGCAGGUGGUGGGAAAGGCGGCCUCCUCUUCCUCAAGGAGCUAAAGAAGCUUACCCAAUUGCGCAAGCUUGGGCUGUCCGGCAUCAACCGCAAUAACUGGGACUGGAACAGCUUGUGCAAUGCAGUCUCGGGUCACCUCCGUCAUCUCGAGUCCUUGUCGCUGCAACUAAUGCUUCUCAAGGAGGACGGCAACAACUUUGAGUUUGCUCGUUUCGAUGACAUCACCGAUCCGCCCAAGACCCUAAAGCGCCUAAAGGUACUGUAUGGUAGAGGAGGGCAUGCAGAUGCAGAUGCAGGUGCAUGGAUCAGGCCAUCCUGGACCAAAAAGCUUCCCAAUCUGAAAAAGUUGUCUCACGGUAAUCUUGGGUUGACAGUAUCAAGCCAAGAGGACAUAGACAUGUUGUCAGGCAUGUUAUUUGAAAUGCAAGUAAGCUUGAACCGUCUUCGUGUCAAGCUCAUUGAGGAGCAGGAGCUCAAGUUUGCUCAGCUAGAAGUCGAAGCCCUCAUGAUUGAUUGCUCCACCACCACCACCACGUUGUUGAAGUCAAAGGUAACUUUUCAAGAUUCUGGAUAUUCGUUGGAGGAGGUCCAUGUCAAAGUACUCAACAUUCACUGCUGCAGCUCUUGUGGAUUGUCCUGUUUGCAAAUUUCUGGGCUAAAGAUUAUCGAAGAUCUCAAGGAAGUCUUGGUUACGGGUUCCUGUGGAGACGACCUCAAGCAAGACUUGCUGAAGCAACUUCAAGACAUUCCAGAAAAACCUGUAACCCUCAAGGUUAACGGCAGCACGGUCCUUCAAUAGAUCCAGCUACAUGCGCAUGAUCUGGUUUGACCCGCACACUUUGAACUAUGUACUCUCUCCGAUCCAUAUUACUUGUCUCAAAUUUGCCCAAAUAUGGAUGUAUCUAUGUUUAAAAACUGUCUAGAUACAUGUAAUAUUUCAGCAAAUAAUAUGGGUUGCAGGGAAUAGUUUUUUUUCCUUCAUUCCUGAGGUGAUGUUGCC